AGAGUUUGAUCCUGGCUCAGGACUAACGCUGGCGGCGUGCCUAAUACAUGCAAGUCGAACGGGAUUAUAGAUUUAGCUUGCUAAGCCUAUAAUCUAGUGGCGGAUGGGUGAGUAACACGUGGGAAUCUGCCUUUUGCUGGGGGAUAACAGUGGGAAACCAUUGCUAAUACCGCAUAAUUCCUUCGGGAGAAAGGUGCAAUUGCAUCGGCAAAAGAUGAGCCCGCGUCCCAUUAGCUAGUUGGUGAGGUAAUGGCUCACCAAGGCGACGAUGGGUAACCGGCCUGAGAGGGUGACCGGUCACACUGGGACUGAGAUACGGCCCAGACUCCUACGGGAGGCAGCAGUAGGGAAUCUUCCGCAAUGGGCGCAAGCCUGACGGAGCGACGCCGCGUGAGUGAAGAAGGCCUUCGGGUUGUAAAGCUCUGUUCUUGAGGAAGAAUAAGCUAAGGAGUGGAAAACCUUAGUGAUGACAGUACUCAAGGAGCAAGCCCCGGCUAACUACGUGCCAGCAGCCGCGGUAAAACGUAGGGGGCAAGCGUUGUCCGGAAUUACUGGGUGUAAAGGGCGCGUAGGCGGUUUCUUAAGUCAGGUGUGAAAGACCGAGGCUUAACUUCGGGUGUGCACUUGAAACUGGGGAGCUUGAGUGUGGGAGAGGAAAGUGGAAUUCCCGGUGUAGCGGUGAAAUGCGUAGAUAUCGGGAGGAACACCAGUGGCGAAGGCGGCUUUCUGGCCCACAACUGACGCUGAGGCGCGAAAGCUGGGGGAGCAAACAGGAUUAGAUACCCUGGUAGUCCCAGCUGUAAACGAUGGAUACUAGGUGUGGGGGGAUCGACCCCCUCCGUGCCGCAGUUAACGCAAUAAGUAUCCCACCUGGGGAGUACGGCCGCAAGGCUGAAACUCAAAGGAAUUGACGGGGGCCCGCAC
rnacentral:rRNA from 1 species